GGCUCUGUAGUGAAAUUCAUGUUGAGUUGCAAGCUCAUCGAUACGCGCUGAGGUGCGUCGGGGCCU